GCAGCAGCCGCCAUCACCGAGGUCUUCCCUGGGAAGGAAUUCACAGCUGGUAUUCAAGCUUAAUGGUGCUUCAUCUAAAGAAAUAAUUUGUAUUCCUUUGGCUCCAUUUCUCUCAUUUCUAAUGGUGGCCUCUUGUUAGUCCUGUUGCAGGAAUGCACAACUGGUGUACAGCCUAAUGGUGCUUGGUCUGUUCACCCCAAAAUCUGGAGCAAAGGUUGUCAGCACCUACUCAGCUUGGGUGGUCCAAAAGAAAAAAAAACUAAUUCUCUUCCCCUCCCCUGAAUUUUUUCUUUGAGAAAAAACACUGGCUAAAUUUUAAACCUGAAUUGGAUAUAUUGAGGGGUGACUGCUUGAUUAUCUGGUGUAUUACUAUAUACACUAAACUCUCGACUACAUAUUCGAUAUCAGAGCAUCCGACUCGAUUGCUUGCUUAUGUUCCCAAGUCCUAGCAUCUAGGGUGUAGGGUUUCCCGUAGUGGUCAGUUUCAACCCCCAAGGGUCAGUAAAUGUCUAGGGACAUGGUUGCAUGGUGUAUCUGAUUUAUGUAUGUUUGGUAUUCCUGUUUUUUCUGUACUGAGUGGACUCCCUCACCUCAAACUGUUUGAGAACCAGUACAUUCUCAAUACCCAUAGUGAGAGGAGUGGUACCAAAGAAGUGAUUGUUGUGCAUUUGCUAUAAAUUUGGCAUUGUAACACCCACAAUGGCAGCUGUUAAUACCAAGAAAGUGCAGACAGUAUUCACAAUAAUACUUAAAAUCUGGAUUCGUAACUUCAUUUACAAAUGAAACAAUGCCAAUGUGCCUAUUAUGUGAAGACUGAAUUCAGUAAUGAUGCCAUGAAACCUUCAAAGAUGAAAGACCACCUUGAGAGGGUUCACUUUGAUGAGACAAAUAAAGACAUUGACUAUUUUAAGGUACAGAAAGAACAGUUUAAAAAUCGACCAAAUUUUAAGACUUUUUUUUUUUUUUUUUUUUUUUUUUUUUUUUAAGCCCCUGCCAAUAUUGAUGAUAAAUUAGGACUGAAGGCAUCAUACAAUAUCUCCCUUACCAUAGCAAAGAAAGGAAAAUCACAUAAAAUUGGUGAGGAAAUCUUAAUUCCAGCAAUUGCAGAAGUGAUUGAGUCUUGUUUUGAAGAAACUGUCAACCUAUCCUAAAGUCUGUCAUUGAGUGACAAUACAGUUCAACGACGAAUUGACGAGAUGGCCAGGGAUGUUGAAAAAACCCUUGCAGCAGAGCUUCAGCACUCCAGGUUUUCUCUCC